rnacentral:lncRNA from 1 species
GAAUUAUUACCCCAAAUUCCCAAACCAAGUCCGACAGUCCCCAAAGGAAGGAUGCCUAUUUACAAUGAAUUAUUACCCCAAAUUGCCAAAUCGAGUCCGACAGUCCCCAAAGGAUGAAUGAUCCAAUUCCAAGCAGCAAACUCCACCAAAUUGAGUAUUCGACUCUCAAUUUCUCAUUCCCAAAUCCAAAAGCUUGCAAACCUCUUUCCUCCCUUCCUAAUUACAUUCAACCGCACAGCCAACCUCAGCCAAGUCCAAAAGCUUAAAGCCAGUGGUUCUUCUUUUGUCAAGUUCAACUGCCGUUCGGGGUUAUGCGCCUGCUUCCGACUUCCUAUUUUGGUCAGCAAACAGCAGGGAAGAAAAUUUGGCUUCACAAGUUCCCCUGGUGAGUGGUUUAUGUUCUAGCUCAUUGCCGUUUUUUUAUUUUUUGGGUAUUGUUUUUGUUCUAUUUUGUUGGCUAUUUUCUAGUUGAUUUGUUGAAUAGAUAAUAAUGAAUGUUGUUAAACUUGUUAUCUCAUGUUUGUAAAUUGUGUUCAUUGUUAAUUUUUUUAUUACUUAUUAGUCUUAUAAAUAUUGAGUUAUGAUUUAUGAAUUAUGAUUUAUGUUUUGACAGUUCUGUGAUUUGUGAGUUAUUAUGGAGAAUUGUGAUUGUGAUUUAUGAUAAGUAAUUUAUGCUUUAUGAGACAUGAAUUAUGAUUAUUGAUUUGAAAAUUUAUGUUUAGGAAAUUAGGAUAAGUGAAAAAAUUUAAUUGAGAAGAUGUUGACCAGUCAAUUUAACAUAUUUUCACACACACACACACACACACACACAAUUUUGACGUUUUAGUUCAUUUACAUAUAUAGUGAAUAACUUUUAAUAAUAUUUAAUCAAAUUUUAAUAAACGAUCGGACUAUUACGACAUUAAUUGUCAAUGGUCAACGGCCAAUAGUCAACCUCCGCCCUAACUGGACUUCAAUCCUGAAUUUAUUGAAAUACAUGUCAACGUUGAUAGCCAACGGUCAACAGUCAACCUUCUGGCUAUCAUGUCUUUUAUUUAUUGAAAUACAUGUCAUUUUAAUAAACAAGACUUGCCUACAAGUAUUGCUUAAAAUACUCCAAAGUUAUGUUGGAUUUGUUGAGCUACUUUUUUGUACAAGUUAAGAUCAUUUUCAAGAGAUUAUUCAAAAAUGAGAUCAUGUUUACUUUAAGCAAUCAAACUCGCUCUUCAUUUGUAUUUUAUCAAAAUUACAUUUAAUGAAAUAACAGGUUUCAAAGUUACACUUAAGCCUUUGUUUGAUUCCUUUUUUUUUAUUUUAAAUAUAUUUCUCUCUUUAUUUCAAUCACAUAUUCUUUAAUAAAAUAAUAUUAUACGUAAAUUCAAAACCUUUUCUCAUUUUUAACGACACAUUCCCUAUCAAUUUACCAUUUCAAAAUACAUUAUAACCCAAAAAAUGGGCUCACACAUGCCCUAAAUUUAUUCAUAUUACUCGAUUUGUCUCAUAAAAAUAUACUUGUUCUCCUUUUUUUGUUUGUUCCAAAUUAUAGGUCACUUUUUUUUUUCCUUUUUUGUUUAAAUGUAAGUAUGUAUUAGGAAAUAUUAUAUUUUUAACUAUAUUAAUUACAUUUUCUUAAUCCAUGUAAAAAUGAAAACAAGCCUAUUUUUAUAAGAUCGAUGGAAUAUAAUUUUAACUAUCAAUCAAGUUAGGGUGCCAAAAAUAUUUUGACACCAUAGUUGACAUACAAUCACAAUAGGGGGGGGGGGGGUGUGAGACAUUUUUUUGUAUUUUUUAUUCAUACGAGUCCCACGCACAUGUAAGAUUAGGUCAUCCAAUGUGUCAAAAUUUUUCUAACAACUUGGCUUAAUUCUCUUAACUAUUGACAUCUAAACAUAUAUAUUAAUUAAAAAAACAAAGGAAAAACAAUACAUGAUUGUUUUGAAAAUGUAAAAUAAAGUGUGUGUCAGAGUAAAAAAAAUUUUACUCUUUAAAUUUAAAGAUAUUUUCUAUCAUGACAAAUAUAUUUCUUAAAAGUAAAGAGUCUUUUAGAGAUGUUCUAAGUCAUGUUUGUUCACCUUCUUUAGAUCGCUCUGUUUUUCUUGGAGUUGAGCUAUGGCUUUACCUCUUACGGGGUUGAGCACUUUAAUUUUACUCAAUCUCAUCUUAAGUCACCUUAUUCGCUUUCCAACAUCUUUAACUUGCCCUCUAAGUAUGGCACGACCUUGAACAUGAACUUAGGUACUAAAAACUCAGCAAUAACAUUCUUACCUAAGAUUGAUGAGUCUUUUGGCCAAACUUGAUGAUAUAUAGGAAUGCAUUCAUUCGAACACUAACAUUUGCAUGACAACGUCUACCAACUACUUAAAAUUAAAUACCAAAGGCUCAAAAUAACAAUUAACAAAAUUAAUAAAUUAGUCACAGAUAAAAAAUGAAUUUGCUGUUUUUUUUUUUUUUUCAUUUGCAAAUCGCUGAUUGUUCAUUUAUCAAGUGGCUUUUAGUUUAGAAGCGAUGAUUAGAACAGCUUUGGCCAGAAAAAGUAGGUAGCAUACAUCCAUAUUUUCUGGCGAGUCACUUUGUGUUUCGGUGUCUUUAGCUUGGCCUCUAAUUAUGACACAAGUUAAGAACUUGAGCCAUGAUAACUCGAUAACUAUUUACAAACUUUUGGUCCUGUAAACUCAGACAGUAACAUUCUUAUCCAAACUUGAGAACUCCUCUGGCCAACCUCAGGUGAUAUAAAACUAAACUCGAGAAUUUAGUGAGAUUGGUAACAUAACUGAUAAGUGUGUUUUUGCAUACUUAUUUAAUACUUAAAUAAGCUUAAAUAAUAAUUAAAUGAGAGAAUUUCUACUCACAAUUAUAUAAUUAUUCUUUUUGCAGGUAAGAAUCACCUAAGAAAAGAGAACAAGGUAAAAUGAAGUGAAAAGUGACCAAAAGUCUACAAAAUUGUGAAGUUGGAGACCAAAAUGCAUAAAUGCCAAAAGUUCAAGGACUUGGGGUUGCAAUUUUUGGAGGGCGUAAUUGAAAGAAAAGUCAAAAUCCAAAGACUAAAUUGGAUAAGACCAAAGUUGAAGGACCUGACGUGCAAUCCUUUGGGGGACCAAUUUGAAAAGAAGGAAAAAAAGGCAAGGCGCCCGCCUCGUUUUGUACUAGGCACGCCCCUUAGAUUAAAAAUCAGAACAUGUGAGCACAUUUUAAUUUUUUCAGAGGCUUUUUUUGCAAUUUGGUUGGGAAGGUUUUGGCCUUUUUAAAUACUUUUUUUCACUAUUAUUCCUCACCUUGAAGAAAACUCUAUUCUUCGUCUUCCUCUUUUCUUCUUCAUUUUUCUUUUCUUUUUUUCUUUUUCUUUCAUUUUUCUUUUGUAAUUUCUCGGUGUAUUGGGAGCAAAAUCUAGAGCACAAAGGAGAUUCAAUCAAGGAGUAGAGAAAUAGUUGGGAAAAUCAAGUUCAAGCUUUGUAAAUGGUUUCAUCUUUAAAUCUUGUAUUUUCUCGAUUAUUUUGUCAUAUUUGCAAUGUAUUGUAUGAAUAUUCUCCUUUGUUAUCAUAUAUAUAAAAUGUACUAGAUUAUCGGUGUUGAGAUUUA